rnacentral:rRNA from 1 species
UACGAAGGGGGCUAGCGUUGCUCGGAAUCACUGGGCGUAAAGGGUGCGUAGGCGGGUCUUUAAGUCAGGGGUGAAAUCCUGGAGCUCAACUCCAGAACUGCCUUUGAUACUGAAGAUCUUGAGUUCGGGAGAGGUGAGUGGAACUGCGAGUGUAGAGGUGAAAUUCGUAGAUAUUCGCAAGAACACCAGUGGCGAAGGCGGCUCACUGGCCCGAUACUGACGCUGAUGCGCGAAAGCCAGGG